AACGCACAUUGCGCUCUCUGGUAUUCCGGAGAGCAUGCCCGUUUCAGAAUCAGUAAUAUCCUCGCAAGCUUCUUGCUUUCAAUUCGCUGCAAGGCGUGAAAACAAGGAGCUUGUGGAGUUUGGACGCUUCUGUUUCCUCAUCCAAAGCGGAGGAAACUCGUCCCAAAUGAAUGGGAAGUGCUGAGGACACCACUUCAGUGGACCUUGCAGAGCAGCAACAAUGACGCUUCGGCGGCUUGAUUACUCCUUGCAACGGACCCAAGGUGCCUUGCUUCCGCAGAGCCUCUACCGGGCAACAUCUUGAAAAAGAAAAAACUUUGGUCUGAAAUCGGGCAAGAAAACCCGCUGAACUUAA
rnacentral:misc_RNA from 1 species